UACGUAGGUCCCGAGCGUUGUCCGGAUUUAUUGGGCGUAAAGCGUGCGCAGGCGGCUCGUUAAGACAGGUGUGAAAUCCCUGGGCUCAACCUAGGAAUUGCGCUUGUGACUGGCGGGCUCGAGUACGGUAGAGGGGGGUGGAAUUCCUGGUGUAGCAGUGAAAUGCGUAGAUAUCGGGAGGAACACCAGUAGCGAAGGCGGCCAUCUGGCUGGUAACUGACGCUGAGGUGCGAGAGCGUGGGGAGCAAACAGG
rnacentral:rRNA from 1 species